rnacentral:sRNA from 1 species
AUGGGUGUAUGGUUAGACAGAAGCCACAACCUUUAGAGCAUUCGCAAUAAGGGUGCUAAAUUGACUAAAAAUUCAAUUUAGCAACCAAUACUAAAAAAUGUGUUACAGCAAAGAAGGCAAACUUAAAAAAAUUUGAAUUUGAGUUAUAGAUAGCAGCUCUCUGUAACUUAAAGUCAAAACAAAAACAAAUUUUUUAUUCAAGUGGAUGUAGUGGCUAAUUUUUGUGGGGAAGUUUUAUUUUAUUUUAAUAAAUUUUUUACAUUAUUUUAAUGGAAUGAAUGUAAAAAUAGAACCUUUGAUAUUUGGUAUAUUGUAAAAUGAGUCGUUAAAAUAGAUAAAAUGUCUUUUUGAGUUGCUAAAGAGUAAAUAUUUUUUAGGAAAUUUGAUGUGAAUGAUCUAAUGACUUGUGCACAAGGCUACUCCGACAGUGUAAUUCAAUUUAACUGCACAUUUUGUACUCUUUUAGAUGACACUAGGAAAAGGGGGCAAUGCAACUCUUUUGACUUUUAACUAGUUUUAAACUUGUAAUCAGAUGUGUCCAUGCAAAAAGACUUUGUCGUCCAGAGGGAAACAAGUUUGAUGGUGUCUUUAGGCCUUCUCUAUUUUAAGAAGGCAAAAAGUACUUUUUAGUUCCUACAUUUUCAGGUGAUUCUUAUUUUAGUUUUUACAUUUUAUUUUUACCGUUUUUAAUUCCCAUCCUGAAAAACACUUUCCGUUUUAGUCCCUGCCGUUAUAUCAGAAACGGAGAAAGCUGACAUGGCAAAUAACAGGAAUAAAUAAUACUAAAUUAAUAUCUAUGUGGCAUAAAUUAAUAAUAAAAAAUGUUUUUUGGCAUUAAAAAAUGCCACGUCAGCAUUUAAAUUAAAAAAAAUUAAAGCGUAAAUGCAAUUUUAGUCCCUACAUUUUAUUUUUAUUACUUUUAGUCCCUAAACUAAUUAACGCGGGACAUUUAAGUCCUUGAAGCACUAUUCCUCAGCCAACUAACAGAGAAACUGACCUGAGCAUUAAAAUAUUGUUAAAAAAUUAUUUAACAUUUUUUAAAUGCCAAAAUUAAAAAAAAAAAAUUAAUUAAUUACUCAAUUUAAUGUUACUGUAGAAAGAAUAGAAACCCACUGAAUCAAAGAACACGAAACCCAGCAACCAAAAGAACACGAUCUCAAAGACCCAGCAACCCAGCAAUCAAAGAACACGAUCUCAAAGACACCACUUCAUCCUCCUCCGACGACUCGCCCCCCGAUCCCACCACUUCCCAUGACUCGUUCGAGUGGGAUGAGUUCGGCUCCGAGCCCCACUCACCUCACAAGUCCGAGGACAAGCUCAACCCUAGCUCCUGGUGCCCGAUCUUCGAACCUAACUCCUCCUCCUCCGCCUCGGCCCCACCCAAUCCACUCCCCGCCUCGGAGUUUGAUUCACUCUUGAUAGGGUGGCCAUGGAGAUCGACGCCUUAUAAGGUAUCCUUGGCGGCCUUAGCUUUUAUCGAUUCGCUUGAAGAAGACGAAAGCAUAGCUGGAAGAAGAGUAGGAGGUGACGUUAUCGAGUGCACCGUAUUGGGCAAAGAGAUCCAUAACAUCUGA